rnacentral:rRNA from 2 species
CGGCGAGUGAACCGGGAAGAGCUCAAAUUUGAAAUCUGGCGUGCUCAGUGCGUCCGAGUUGUAAUCUAUAGAGUCGUUUUCCGUGCCGGACUGUGUCCAAGUCCCUUGGAACAGGGUAUCAAAGAGGGUGAUAAUCCCGUACUUGACACAAUGACCGGUGCUCUGUGAUACGUCUUCUACGAGUCGAGUUGUUUGGGAAUGCAGCUCAAAAUGGGUGGUGAGUUCCAUCUAAAGCUAAAUAUUGGCGAGAGACCGAUAGCGAACAAGUACCGUGAGGGAAAGAUGAAAAGCACUUUGGAAAGAGAGUUAAACAGUACGUGAAAUUGUUAAAAGGGAAACGAUUGAAGUCAGUCGUGACUGAGAGGCUCAGCCGGUUCUGCCGGUGUAUUCCCCUCAGUCGGGUCAACAUCAGUUUUGUUCGGUGGAUAAGGGCGGUUGGAAGGUGGCACCCUCGGGUGUGUUAUAGCCAACUGUCGCAUACAUCGGAUGAGACUGAGGAAUGCAGCUCGCCUUUAUGGCCGGGGUUCGCCCACGUUCGAGCUUAGGAUGUUGACAUAAUGGCUUUAAACGACCCGU